AUUGAACGCUGGCGGCAUGCCUUACACAUGCAAGUCGAACGGCAGCACGGGUGCUUGCACCUGGUGGCGAGUGGCGAACGGGUGAGUAAUACAUCGGAACAUGUCCUGUAGUGGGGGAUAGCCCGGCGAAAGCCGGAUUAAUACCGCAUACGAUCUACGGAUGACAGCGGGGGACCUUCGGGCCUCGCGCUAUAGGGUUGGCCGAUGGCUGAUUAGCUAGUUGGGGGGGUAAAGGCCUACCAAGGCGACGAUCAGUAGCUGGUCUGAGAGGACGACCAGCCACACUGGGACUGAGACACGGCCCAGACUCCUACGGGAGGCAGCAGUGGGGAAUUUUGGACAAUGGGCGAAAGCCUGAUCCAGCAAUGCCGCGUGUGUGAAGAAGGCCUUCGGGUUGUAAAGCACUUUUGUCCGGAAAGAAAUCCUUGGCCCUAAUACGGUCGGGGGAUGACGGUACCGGAAGAAUAAGCACCGGCUAACUACGUG
rnacentral:rRNA from 1 species